ACGGGGUGCAGCAGGCGCGAAAACUUUGCAAUGUGCGAAAGCGCGACAAGGUUAAUCCGAGUGGUUUCUGCUAAAGGAACCUUUUGUCAGUCCUAGAAACACUGGUGAAUAAGGGGUGGGCAAGUUCUGGUGUCAGCCGCCGCGGUAAAACCAGCACCUCAAGUGGUCAGGAUGAUUAUUGGGCCUAAAGCAUCCGUAGCCGGCUUUGUAAGUUUUCGGUUAAAUCCAUGCGCUCAACGUAUGGGCUGCCGGGAAUGCUGCAUAACUAGGAAGUGGGGGAGGUAGACGGUGCUCGGUAGGAAGGGGUAAAAUCCUUUGAUCUAUUGAUGACCACCUGUGGCGAAGGCGGUCUACCAGAACACGUUCGACGGUGAGGGAUGAAAGCUGGGGGAGCAAACCGGAUUAGAUACCCGGGUAGUCCCAGCUGUAAACUAUGCAAACUCAGUGAUGCAUUGGCUUGUGGCCAAUGCAGUGCUGCAGGGAAGCCGUUAAGUUUGCCGCCUGGGAAGUACGUACGCAAGUAUGAAACUUAAAGGAAUUGGCGGGGGAGCAC
rnacentral:rRNA from 1 species